UACGGAGGGGACUAGCGUUGUUCGGAAUUACUGGGCGUAAAGCGCACGUAGGCGGCUUUCUAAGUCAGGGGUGAAAUCCUGGAGCUCAACUCCAGAACUGCCUUUGAUACUGGAGAGCUUGAGUCCGGGAGAGGUGAGUGGAACUCCGAGUGUAGAGGUGAAAUUCGUAGAUAUUCGGAAGAACACCAGUGGCGAAGGCGGCUCACUGGCCCGGUACUGACGCUGAUGUGCGAAAGCGUGGGGAGCAAACAGG
rnacentral:rRNA from 1 species